ensembl:lncRNA
UAUGCAGGCUUUCUUUGAAGGAAUCAAACCCAGUAGAUUCACAAUAUCUGAUUCUAGGUAUAUGCAAUCAUGUAUUAUUUCCUCAACUGGGAGUUUACCAAGCUCAGGAUUUAUAAAUCACACUGCCAUGAACAGUUUUGGAGCCUUCAUCAUACAACUGCUUUUGGAGACUUCAUCAUAAAUUCUUUGCGAAAGCUGAUGUCCAGAAUGGUAUUAGCAGAGAUGAAGUUUUACCACGUUGCUCAGGCUAGUAUGGAACUCCUGACCUCAAGUGAUCCACCUGCCUUGGCCUCUCAAAGUGCUGGAAUUACGGCUGUGAGCCACCGCGCCCUGCCCAAGGACCAGUUCUAAAUGCAGUAAAACCAAAAAUGUAAAUAUAUAAGUGCAAGUCUAUCAGAAUGUGGGUAGAAUCUGUAUGAUGUAAACUAUAAAAGACUGAUGAAAGACGCAUAAAAUCAUAAUCACAAACUGAAUCUUACUGUAGGUCAACUUCAAAAUAACUUUUUCAAAUAUGAUAAAGAAAUAUAGAAAUUAGAAAUUAUAAUUCAUCCAUCCAAUAAUCGAUCAAGGCUGGAAAACUCUAUUUUUCUCCUGUCUUUUCUUAAUUUUGUAAAACACUGUGGGUUACUGAAAACAUCCUAAGAAGAGUAACCGGUCCUUGACUUGGAAAAAGUCAUAUGCCUUUCAGGAGGACAGAUAUAUAAGCAACAAUUGAGUAAUCAUUAUGGCACAGUCAUAUAAUACAGUGCUGAGGAGAAGACUUGAGGCAACGUUCAUUGUCCUCUGCUGGGCUAGGGUAGUUGUGCGGAGAGAACACUAAAUGCUGAAGGCAAAAAAGGAGUUGCCAUUUGAGAUGACAUUAUUCCAGAGUAAGGAAGACAGGAGGGAAUUACGUAAACACUCUUUGUUCCUUAUUUCCACUACUCUUGUAGUCCAGAUCCUGGGAGAAAUGUUCAACAGUAGCAUACUUAUUCUCCCCCGAGCUGCUUCCAGCCAACAACUGUACAGCAGGGACACCAAAUCAGGUGUAUCACAGGGAGACAUGGGACCCAUCUGAAAGCCAGCUUUAGCUUGAGUGCUCCCCAGCAGUUGUGCCAACCUUCCUUAGACUUCAUAGGAGGUCUAGGACACCUCCCUCCACCCUUUCUUCCCUCUCUCCACUCAGGGGUAGGUUCAUUUCAUGAUUUGACAGGUUUUUUUUUUUUUUUUUUCUUUUAGCUUGUCCUGGCUCAUUUUCUUCUUCACAGUUAUUUUAUUAGUUAAAUCUUGCAUGCUUAACCUCAUUUUGGUAUCCUCUUCUGAAAAGACACACACUAAUACAGUCAGCCACUGCACCCUGCCCAAGGACCAGUUCUAAAUGCAAUAACAUCAAAAAAGUAAAUAUGUAAGUGCAAGUCUAACAGAAUGUGGGUUGAAUCUGUAUGAUGUAAACUAUGAAAGACUGAUGAAAGAUGCAUGAAAUUACAAUCACAAGCUUAAUCUGAUUAUACAACUCCCUAUCAUACAACCACAAACUGAAAAGACACACACUCCUUUGCCUAUUUUGUUUCUCACAUUUGCCUCAAAAAUACAUGUGUUCCUCAUUAUUCUGUUUAUAGUGCCCUGUUUCCUCCCAUCCUAGUAGCAGCUGACAGUUUCCCCCACAGCGUUUAUCUACUACAACGAAAAUGUGUCUUCCUACUAGUUCCUUUUUUUCUUUUCUUUAGAGAUAAGGUCUGUCUCUGUUACCCGGGCUGAAGUGCAGUGGUGUGAUCAUAGCUCACAGCAGCUUUAAACUCCUGUGCUCAAGCAAUCCUCCCACCCUAGUCUCCUGAGUAGCUGGGACUACAGGCACAUGCCACCAUGCUGAGCUAAUUUAAAGGUUUUUUUUCAGAGAUGGGGUUUCACUAUGUUGCUCAGGCUGGUCUCAAACUCCUGGCAUCAAGUGAUCCUCCAACCUAACCCUCCCAAAGUGGUGGAAUUACGAGGGUGAGCUACCAUGUUCAGCCCUAUACUAGAUCAUUCUUUUGGUCUCUACAUAUAAUUUU